GUAACAAAUUACUACAAACUUAGUGGCUUAAAGCAAUACAGAUUUAUUAUCCUACAGUUCUAGAGGUUGGAAGUCCAAAAUGGAUUGAGAGGGCUGGUUCCUUCCGGAGGUUCUAAGGGAGAAUCCCUUUCCUGCCUUUUUCGGCUCCUAGAGGCCACUCACAUUCCUUGCCUCAUGGGCCUGCGUCCCUCUGACCUCUGUUUCCAUCAUCACAUCUCCUUCUCUGACUCUGGCCCUCUGGACUCCCUCUAAUAAGAACCUUGUGAUGACAGUGGGCCCACUCAGAUAAUCCAGGAAAAUCUCCCCAGCUCAAGAUUCUUAAUGUCAUCACACCUGCCAAGCAUUUUCCUUUGUAAGUUAACCUACCCGUAGAUUCCAGAGAUUUAGAUGUAUAUAGGGGAGACCCCUGGUUCCUCCAAAUCGCUCCCGCAUUGGGCGCCCUGGCCUGAACCGCCACCAUGGCUGACUUGGGCCAGACAGGAAUCCUCUCACUCAGUUCAAGCAGCAUCAGUGGCUGUGCAUGGGAACAGAUACGAAUGAUGUGUGGCUCUAGUACGCAGUCUGGCAAGACAAAGCAAAAAUCCCAAACAGGCCUGGACUCUUGGACUCAGAAAUUCCAGGAAUUUAUCCUAAAACAUGCACUCACAAGUAGCCAAAGAUAUACAUGCGAGGACAAAACUUGUAGCUUAAUGAUCAGCAACACAUGGGAACAAGUGACAUGUUCAAUAACGGGCACCAGUUAAGUGACGGGACAUCCGCAUGACAGAAUCCGGUCCUGGGCAGCGUGCAAAUGACAUGGAAUGUUUACAAUAUAUUGUCAAGUGAGGAAAAAAGAGGCUUCCAAAUAAUAGGCUCAGAUGGAUCCUAUUUUUAUAAAAUUCAUAUAUGUAUAUUUAUAUCAUAUAUUUGUAUCGGGAAAAGUAUGGAAAAAUAGAUACCCAAAUACCAUCUGUGGUCACCUUGGGGUGGGGGUAGGACUUUUUUCACCACUGUGUCAUAUUGGGAGAGGGCCUACUGGGUGCUCGGUCCUUGCUGUGCCUGUCAGUGAGCAGGGCUUUUUCCGUCUUCGUGGAUUAGAAUUGCACAGGAUAUUUUUUUAUAGGAGGAGAGAGGCUUUUGGAGUAACUAAAAUUAUUUUCUCUCUUUUCCGAUGUUCGUUCUCAAAUGAACAUUCAUUUCUUGUGCAUUUUUUUACAUUAAACCCUUCUUAAAAUUGCGGUCAAACAUAUAUAACAUGAAAUUUAUCAUGUAAGUGUGCAAUUCGGUGGCAUAAAACACCUUCACAAAGUUGUGCAACCAUCACCCGAACUAGAACUUUUCUCAUCCAUUUCUAGAACUUUUCUCAUCACCCGAAACAGAAAAUUUGCCCCCAUUAAAUAAUAACUCCUCUCUCCCCCUCCUCUAGUUCCUUGCAACCACAUUCUACUUUCUGUUUCUAUGAAUUUGCCUAUUCUAGGUGCCUCAUGUAAGUGUAAUCAUACAAUAUUUAUCUUUUUAUGUCUGGCUUAUUGCAUUUUGCAAAUUGUUUUCAAGUGUGAUUUUUUUUUUUUUAAGAAUGCUUUUUGAGGGGAAAAUGCAACUGUCAAGUUUUAGAAAAUGCAAGCCACCCAGGAUAGGUUCCCAGGACCCUCUGGAGGCUAGAGCAAGGGUCUUUCCCAGGGGCUGAUGCCACAUGAGGCUGGGGUGGGGGGGAUGCAACUGAACAGUAAGCAGAAAAAGGCCCUGGGUCACACACACCAAUCCAUGCAACCCUGUCACCCCUGAGCAGGCAGGAGACAGAGAGGAAGGCAUUUGCCAGGGGUCCUUGGCAUUGGACAGCUGAUCUGUACAGAAUUGCAGGCUCCCAGCUCAGGAACCUGGCCACUGGAACUCCUGGCCUUCUAGGAUGUUUGUAAACACCCAGAGACCAUAGCCCCUUCCAGGAAUAGGCCUGUGUUCUCAGUGACUGUGACAAGUGGAAUUUCACUCACCACUGGAGACAAUCCCCAAGGCAUUGUGUUUCUGAAUCCAGGGAUGAAACUGCCAGCUGAAUAGUAUACAUUCUCUAAAUUAUUAAAGAGCCUGAGAGCGGCUGCCACAUUGGGGUCCCUGGUGCGAGUCCUCAGAGCAGCAGCUGAGUUCUUGGCGGGACAGGACCAUCAAGCGCCCUACCCGUCAGCUGCUCUGUGGCCUGGAGGCCAAGGGUCGGCCCCAGGGGUGCUGGGAAAGUGUCCUUGCUCCAGGGAGUGAGCUGUCCCUUGUGACAACAGGAAAGAGCUCACUGCAGAGAGUGAGGCGUGUUUCCUCCUCAUCUGUCAAAUGGGGCUUAAUAGAGCGGAGAAGCCCCCACUGCUACAGGGAGUCCGUCCCUCUCAUUCCGUGAGGAAACCCUGAGAGUAUGCAGUUCUGCGCCCUCGUUGGAUGUCCCUGGAGGAUCGGGAUGUGAGGCAUGUGAGGGCUGGUGGGGACACAGGAUGCAUCUGCCAAAUGCUGCUGCUGUCAGGAUGGCUGACCCAAAUCUCUCCACCAGCCUGCCUUUCCUAGCUCCGGCUUUCUACUUCCUGUGCUCUCCUCAGGCAGGAGACACCUGCUCCUCCUGAACAUGCCCCUGUGGGUGAUAAAGAUGCUGGAGGCUGGCCUAAAUUCUGGCUUCGAGGGUACCCUCAGGCAAGUUCUUUACACAAGGCCCUCAGGCUCAAGGUUUGACAAAAGGAAUGGCUGGCAGAAGGUUCUAGAAAGGUAAGACUGCACAUUGUCUGUCUGGAUGACAAAUUUUCUGAAUAGGAUGGAGCGAUGAUGCUCACAGUGGAACAUUCAUCAGACUCCACAAUGAGACCCAGAGACACUGUGACACAUCCAGAUGGAAAAGCCUUCUUGGGCGCUGCCCCCCUGGUCCACCUGCGUGGUGGAGGCUUCCCAGAGGAGGUGGCACUGGACCAGGAGCUUGAUGGAUGAGUGAGAGUUCAGGGGGCUUGUAUGGGCAGCAAAGCCAGGGUGGAGGUUGGUCCCUCCACAUCCGGUCCAGUAGCCUGAGUCCCAUGUGUUGCUGGGGACACAAACCAAUGUUCCAGAAAGCAGAGCCCAGUGGGGAGGCCUGCGUUGAAACUCUGGCUCGCCAUGCUCUGCCCUGGGCCAGGAGCCCCCUCCAGACCUCGGUUUCCUCUUCUGUGCAAUGGGGCAGCUGUGCGGGGUGCUCAGAAAGGGUGCUGGCGAGAUCUGGGUGCAGCUGCCUCGGGAUCCACCUCUGUUUCCCUGCCCCCACCUCUAUUAACGAAUCUCUCAGGAUAUUCGAAGGCAUUAAGACCAGUCUUCUGCUGGGCACCUGUCUCCUGGAGGAGACCCAGAUCUGUGGAGUCUCAAGUGAGCAGACAUCUAUAAAAAAAUAUGGUGUAUCUCAUGUGUGGAAGACAUUGUGGGGGUUGUCAUCUCCUGGAAGCAGAGCCUGAGAUAAUUCCUUCAUCCAUCUACAAGGAAGGAAUUGUCAUCCGCCCUGAGGCUUACUGUGACCUAAGCAUCUCAUCCUGUGAGGGCCCAGGGUCUUACUGUAGCUGGCAGCAUGGACCAGUUCUCCAAUUACAGACACAGGAAACCAGGCCGGCCCAGCUCUCAGACUGCACCACCUUCACGGGCUCCCUCUUGACCACGAACGCACUGAAUGGAGCAAUGUGCCACAAGACUGGUCUGUGCUGCUUCAGAAUUGUCAAGAGGCACCCCCAUUUUACAGAGAACAAAAGUACGGCUGCCAAACUUACAAAAGAAAUGAUGGUGCCAGAACGAAUGCCUGGGGCCUGAACCGCAAUCUAGAAUCCCGUGUGCAGGUCCGACGGUCCCCAGUCAAGACCAUACGGUCCACCUGCAGGACGCACAGGGAGGCAACUGAAAUGAGAAAGCGGGCAGGCAAGUGAUCGAGAGGAAGAGGGGCUUUAGUUUGGGAGGAAAAAGGCAGAGAGGGGAUGAGAUCCAAGGCUACGGGGUCAUGAACAAUGGUAUCAGGCAAAGCUGGGCCUGCUCACCAAACCUCAGAACCACUUGGGAAGCCUGAGAGGCGUGAAGUGAAGUCCCGCCUCUUAACUGAACAAAACUCACUCCUGAGUGGUGGCAGGAGGCAUGGACUCAGAAAAUGCUUAGAGCAAGUCGUAAAUGUGCCACAAAACUAGGUUGUGAUGAGU